rnacentral:lncRNA from 1 species
CUGUCCCCCGGCCCGGUGGCCAUAGCGCGCUCGCAGAGCUCGGCCAGUCUCCCCCCACGGCCCGAGAGGGGGCUGCGGCGCUCGGCGUCGCUGGGCAGGGGCGCGGGGGGGACCCCCAUGUCCAGCCGGGGGCCCCCCGUGGCCACGCUGCAGCGGGGACGGCAGCCCCUGUGCCGCCCGGCCGUGCCCGAGUCCAGCUUCUGAGCCAUGGCCGGGGGGCGUGGAGGGGCCGGCGGGGGGGGAGCCCCCCCCCCCCCGGGGGUCCUGAGCUGAACUGGGGACUCCCAAAGUGGGGCUGUCCCAAACUGGGGGGGUCUCAACCCCAGGGCUCCUGAAGCAGGGCAUCCCAUAGGGGCAUCCCAAAGCAGGGGCAUCCUGAACUGGGAAUGUCCCAACCUGGGGGGGGGGGGGGUGUCCCAGCAAGAGGCUCCCAAAGCAGGGCAUCCCCAAACUGGAAGUAUUCAGGUAUCCCAAAACUGGGGCAUCCCAAACCAGAGGCUCCUAAAUCAGGGCAUCCCGAGCCAGCAGCAUCCCAACCUGGGAGCAUCCCAAACUGGGAGCAUCCCAAACUGGGAGCAUCCCAAACUGGGAGCAUCCUGAACCAGAAGCUCCUAAAUCGGGGCAUCCCGAGCCAGGAGCAUUCCAGACUGGGGGGGUCAUCCUGAAGUGGUGGCUUUGAAACCAAGGGAUAUCCCAACCUAGGGUCGUCCUGAACUGGGAACGUCCCAACCUGGGGGUCCCAAACAAGAGGCUCCCAAAGCAGGGCAUCCCCAAACUGGAAAUAUUCAGGUAUCCCAAACCAGGAACAUCCCAAACCGGGGCAUCCCAAACUAGUCCCGAGCCAGGAGCAUUCCAGACUGGGGGGGUCAUCCUGAAGUGGUGGCUUUGAAACCAAGGGAUAUCCCAACCUAGGGUCGUCCUGAACUGGGAACGUCCCAAACACACGUGCACAAACAAGAGGCUCCCAAAGCAGGGCAUCCCCAAACUGGAAGUAUUCAGGUAUCCCAAACCAGGAACAUCCCAAACCAGGGUAUCCCAAAACAGGGCACCCCAAACUAGGGGCAUCCCAAACUAGGGGCAUCCCAAACCAGGAGCAUCCCAAACCAGGGCAUCCCAAACUAGGGGCAUCCCGAACCAGGAGCAUCCCAAACUAGGGCAUCCUGAACCAGGAGCAUCCCGACCAGGAGCAUCCCAAACCAGGGCAUCCCAAACCAGGAGCAUCCCAAACCAGGGCAUCCCAAACUAGGGGCAUCCUGAACCAGGGCAUCCCAAACUAGGGGCAUCCUGAACCAGUGGCUCCCAAAUCUGGGCAUCCCAAGCCAGGAGCAUUCCAGACUGGGGGGGUCAUCCUGAAGUGGUGGCUCUGAACCCAAGGGAUAUCCCAACCCAGGGGCACCCGGAACUGGGGGCAUCACCCACUCACCUCCCCGUGCCCCGUCCCAGGGAGUGGGCAAGUGGGCAGGCAAAGGGGCAAGCGGGCAGGCAAAGGGGCAAGCGGGCUCCCCGGCUGUGCCAGCCCCGAGACGCGCGAGUAUUUAUUGCACCAGGAGAGUUUUAUUCCAGAGACGCUUUUUGUUUUCUAAAAGGCGACUCCCCCGGGGGGCGGGCGGGUCCCCCCACACCAAGGUCUAUGCAAUUCGCGAUUCCUCCAGGGGGAGGGGGGGG